GCAUAAUCAGUAGUCUUUUAAUUGAAGGCUGGUAUGAAUGGUUGGAUGAAAUAUUAACUGUUUCAUUUAAAUUUUUUAUAGAAUUUUAUUUUUUAGUCAAAAAGCUAAAAUGUUAUUAAAAGACGAGAAGACCCUAUAAAUCUUUAUAUUUCAUUUUUAUUAAUUAUUUAGAUAUUUUUAAUUAUUAAAAAUUUAAGUAUUAUAUUGGGGUGAUAUUAAAAUUUAAUAAACUUUUAAUUAAUAAUAACAUAAAUUUAUGAAUUUUUUGAUCCAUUAUUAAUGAUUAAAAAUUUAAGUUACUUUAGGGAUAACAGCGUAAUUUUUUUGGAGAGUUCAUAUCGAUAAAAAAGAUUGCGACCUCG
rnacentral:rRNA from 1 species